rnacentral:rRNA from 1 species
UACGUAGGGUCCGAGCGUUGUCCGGAAUUAUUGGGCGUAAAGGGCUCGUAGGCGGUUUGUCACGUCGGGAGUGAAAACUUGGGGCUUAACCCCAUUCGUGCUUCCGAUACGGGCAGACUAGAGGCAGGCAGGGGAGAACGGAAUUCCUGGUGUGAGCGGUGGAAUGCGCAGAUAUCAGGAGGAACACCGGUGGCGAAGGCGGUUCUCUGGGCCUGUUCUGACGCUGAGGAGCGAAAGCAUGGGGAGCGAACAGG